rnacentral:rRNA from 1 species
UUAAGCGACUAAGCGUACACGGUGGAUGCCCUGGCAGUCAGAGGCGAUGAAGGACGUGCUAAUCUGCGAUAAGCGUCGGUAAGGUGAUAUGAACCGUUAUAACCGGCGAUUUCCGAAUGGGGAAACCCAGUGUGUUUCGACACACUAUCAUUAACUGAAUCCAUAGGUUAAUGAGGCGAACCGGGGGAACUGAAACAUCUAAGUACCCGAGGAAAGAAAUCAACCGAGAUUCCCCCAGUAGCGGCGAGCGAACGGGGAGGAGCCCAGAGCCUGAAUCAGUGUGUGUGUUAGUGGAAGUGCCUGGAAAGGCGCGCGAUACAGGGUGACAGCCCCGUACACAAAAAUGCACAUGCUGUGAGCUCGAUGAGUAGGGCGGGACACGUGGUAUCCUGUCUGAAUAUGGGGGGACCAUCCUCCAAGGCUAAAUACUCCUGACUGACCGAUAGUGAACCAGUACCGUGAGGGAAAGGCGAAAAGAACCCCGGCGAGGGGAGUGAAAAAGAACCUGAAACCGUGUACGUACAAGCAGUGGGAGCACAGAGCAAUCUGUGUGACUGCGUACCUUUUGUAUAAUGGGUCAGCGACUUAUAUUCUGUAGCAAGGUUAACCGAAUAGGGGAGCCGAAGGGAAACCGAGUCUUAACUGGGCGUUAAGUUGCAGGGUAUAGACCCGAAACCCGGUGAUCUAGCCAUGGGCAGGUUGAAGGUUGGGUAACACUAACUGGAGGACCGAACCGACUAAUGUUGAAAAAUUAGCGGAUGACUUGUGGCUGGGGGUGAAAGGCCAAUCAAACCGGGAGAUAGCUGGUUCUCCCCGAAAGCUAUUUAGGUAGCGCCUCGUGAAUUCAUCUCCGGGGGUAGAGCACUGUUUCGGCAAGGGGGUCAUCCCGACUUACCAACCCGAUGCAAACUGCGAAUACCGGAGAAUGUUAUCACGGGAGACACACGGCGGGUGCUAACGUCCGUCGUGAAGAGGGAAACAACCCAGACCGCCAGCUAAGGUCCCAAAGUCAUGGUUAAGUGGGAAACGAUGUGGGAAGGCCCAGACAGCCAGGAUGUUGGCUUAGAAGCAGCCAUCAUUUAAAGAAAGCGUAAUAGCUCACUGGUCGAGUCGGCCUGCGCGGAAGAUGUAACGGGGCUAAACCAUGCACCGAAGCUGCGGCAGCGACACUGUGUGUUGUUGGGUAGGGGAGCGUUCUGUAAGCCUGUGAAGGUGUGCUGUGAGGCAUGCUGGAGGUAUCAGAAGUGCGAAUGCUGACAUAAGUAACGAUAAAGCGGGUGAAAAGCCCGCUCGCCGGAAGACCAAGGGUUCCUGUCCAACGUUAAUCGGGGCAGGGUGAGUCGACCCCUAAGGCGAGGCCGAAAGGCGUAGUCGAUGGGAAACAGGUUAAUAUUCCUGUACUUGGUGUUACUGCGAAGGGGGGACGGGAGAAGGCUAUGUUGGCCGGGCGACGGUUGUCCCGGUUUUAAGCGUGUAGGCUGGUUUUCCAGGCAAAUCCGGAAAAUCAAGGCUGAGGCGUGAUGACGAGGCACUACGGUGCUGAAGCAACAAAUGCCCUGCUUCCAGGAAAAGCCUCUAAGCAUCAGGUAACAUCAAAUCGUACCCCAAACCGACACAGGUGGUCAGGUAGAGAAUACCAAGGCGCUUGAGAGAACUCGGGUGAAGGAACUAGGCAAAAUGGUGCCGUAACUUCGGGAGAAGGCGCGCUGAUAUGUAGGUGAAGUCCCUCGCGGAUGGAGCUGAAAUCAGUCGAAGAUACCAGCUGGCUGCAACUGUUUAUUAAAAACACAGCACUGUGCAAACACGAAAGUGGACGUAUACGGUGUGACGCCUGCCCGGUGCCGGAAGGUUAAUUGAUGGGGUCAGCGCAAGCGAAGCUCUUGAUCGAAGCCCCGGUAAACGGCGGCCGUAACUAUAACGGUCCUAAGGUAGCGAAAUUCCUUGUCGGGUAAGUUCCGACCUGCACGAAUGGCGUAAUGAUGGCCAGGCUGUCUCCACCCGAGACUCAGUGAAAUUGAACUCGCUGUGAAGAUGCAGUGUACCCGCGGCAAGACGGAAAGACCCCGUGAACCUUUACUAUAGCUUGACACUGAACAUUGAGCCUUGAUGUGUAGGAUAGGUGGGAGGCUUUGAAGUGUGGACGCCAGUCUGCAUGGAGCCGACCUUGAAAUACCACCCUUUAAUGUUUGAUGUUCUAACGUGGACCCGUGAUCCGGGUUGCGGACAGUGUCUGGUGGGUAGUUUGACUGGGGCGGUCUCCUCCUAAAGAGUAACGGAGGAGCACGAAGGUUGGCUAAUCCUGGUCGGACAUCAGGAGGUUAGUGCAAUGGCAUAAGCCAGCUUGACUGCGAGCGUGACGGCGCGAGCAGGUGCGAAAGCAGGUCAUAGUGAUCCGGUGGUUCUGAAUGGAAGGGCCAUCGCUCAACGGAUAAAAGGUACUCCGGGGAUAACAGGCUGAUACCGCCCAAGAGUUCAUAUCGACGGCGGUGUUUGGCACCUCGAUGUCGGCUCAUCACAUCCUGGGGCUGAAGUAGGUCCCAAGGGUAUGGCUGUUCGCCAUUUAAAGUGGUACGCGAGCUGGGUUUAGAACGUCGUGAGACAGUUCGGUCCCUAUCUGCCGUGGGCGCUGGAGAACUGAGGGGGGCUGCUCCUAGUACGAGAGGACCGGAGUGGACGCAUCACUGGUGUUCGGGUUGUCAUGCCAAUGGCACUGCCCGGUAGCUAAAUGCGGAAGAGAUAAGUGCUGAAAGCAUCUAAGCACGAAACUUGCCCCGAGAUGAGUUCUCCCUGACCCUUUAAGGGUCCUGAAGGAACGUUGAAGACGACGACGUUGAUAGGCCGGGUGUGUAAGCGCAGCGAUGCGUUGAGCUAACCGGUACUAAUGAACCGUGAGGCUUAACCUU